rnacentral:rRNA from 1 species
GGAAUAUUGCGCAAUGGGCGAAAGCCUGACGCAGCCAUGCCGCGUGGAUGAUGAAGGCCUUCGGGUCGUAAAGUCCUUUUCUUGGGGAAGAACAAGCCGAGGAGUGGAAUGUCUCGGCCCUGACGGUAACCAAGGAAUAAGCACCGGCUAACCCCGUGCCAGCAGCCGCGGUAAUACGGAGGUUGCGAGCGUUGUUCGGAAUUACUGGGCGUAAAGGGAGCGCAGGCGGCCAGGUCAGUCCAAAGUGAAAUCCCGGGGCUCAACCCCGGAAUGGCUUCGGAUACUGCCUGGCUUGAGUUCGCGAGAGGUGAGCGGAAUUCCAGGUGUAGCGGUGAAAUGCGUAGAUAUCUGGAGGAACACCGGUGGCGAAAGCGGCUCACUGGCGCGAAACUGACGCUGAGGCUCGAAAGCGUGGGGAGCAAAC